AAAAGAGCAGAGGAAUAGGGCACAAAGGAAGGAAAGGACGAUGGGAGGGAGAGCAAACAGGGCGCACCUGCCAGCAGGGGGGGGUACAGCUGUGUCUUGUCCCACACUUCUGGUGAGACCAGUUCAGCAGCUAACCUGGGUUUUAAAAGGACACAGAAAGGAUAAUUGGGUGGUGAAUAGUGGUAAGAAGCAACCUGCCAUGGCUGAGAAAAUGUUCUGUAUGAAAAAUGAAGUAAUUUUCACCACAUUUUACUCAAUGCUGUUAGCCAAGGAUGCUGAGAGCAAGCCUCAGCUCUCUCUGCAGCUGGAGCUGGCACUGGCUGGGAAACAGCAGCUCAUCUAUGCCAUUUCCAGGUUUCUCUGUUUAGUGGGAGUGCUAGAACAAACCUCUCAGGGAAUAUUCACUCCCUUAAAGACAUCACAACAGGAGUGAAGAAACAGGCUUUGAGGACUGGUCUCAAGGAAUCGUCUCUUGUCUAUUGACAUUCUUCUGCUCAGUCCUACCAAAAAGGUUAGCAAUGCUUUAUCUCUA
rnacentral:lncRNA from 1 species